rnacentral:lncRNA from 1 species
UUAAAUGAUUAAAUUUUAAUUUUUGUGGAUCCGGAUAUCCAGAAUAUCCGCCCGCAUCCGGAUCCAUAAAAAAAUUUACAGAUCCGAAUGCGGAUCCGGAUGCAAAUUUAUUAAUCCGUAUCCAGAUGCACCUACAUCCGGAUCCGGAUCCGGAUCUAGAUUUUGCCAACCCUAUAUAUAACUGGUCAUUCUAAUGCUUCAAGGUUGACAUCGAUUCAUCUCUCCAAACUGUGAUUUUUUAGUGCAUUCUUGCAUGCAUUGGACUUAAUACUAGUUAGUGUGUUUGUCUUGGAAACUUAAUUAAUUUGUGUGUUAUGCUUAUGUUAUUUUUUGUUGGUCAAUUGAAAAAGAAGUUGCUGGUGAUGGCCUUGUCUAUUAUUUCUAUUAGACUUAUAUGUAUUUUGUCUAUUAUGUCUAUUAGACUUAUAUGUAUUUUGGCUUAUGUGCAAUGAAUAUUGGGCUUUGAUUUUAAUGAGUAUAAUAGAAUGUUUAAUUCCUAAUUUUAAUAGCUUUAUAUAUUCUCAAUUACAAAAAGAAUUUGUUAAAUAAAAAAUGUGGAAAGUAAAAUAAUAUAUUAUUAAAAUUUUAUGUUAAAUAUUAAUAUUAAAUUAGCUUAAUAAUUAAAUAGUAAAUAUAUACAGAUUUUUGUAGCAAAAACAUUGCAUUUUCGUGGCUAAUAUAAACCCAACAAAGGUAAUUAGUCACAAAUAAAUUUCAUAGCCAAUUAUUGUAAAAUUCACCACAAAUAGAUCGUGGCUAAUCAACACACAUUUAACCACAAACCCAUUAUUUAGCACAAUGAAUAAUGUUGCCAAAUAGAAUAAUUGGUGACAAAACCACUUAGUGGCCAAAGAUUGGCAAAUUCACCACAAAUAUUUUGUGGCUAAUGGUCUUACAUUCAACCACAAACAUUUUAUUUAGCCACAAUAAUAGGCGUUGCCACAUAGAGCAAUUAGUGACAAAAUAAUUUUGUGGCCAAAGGCUAUCACAACAAGUUUUGUGGCUAAAUGUUUUACUUUUAGCCACAAACCAGCGUUUACCCACAAAAAUAGAGACAUAGAUUUUGUAUUAAAUAAUGAGAUAUGUGAGUUUCAAGAUUAUUUUUUACCACAAAAAUUUACUAUCGCUAAUAUCCAUGAGCCAUGAAAUCUCUAUUUCAUGGCUAAAUAUCAAAUGCCACAGCUGUAAGGCGCGAAAUUGGGACAAAAAUGUUUUUGUGGCAAAAGACAAUAAGUCACAAAAUUUGAGUGUUUUGCCACAAAAUGUUUUGAGGCUAAAUGACAUUUUUCUUGUAGUGAACACUGCUCUUGCAAGGUUUCCUCCAAGGUUUUGAAGUGUCUACAUAAGUUCAACAAUAUAUUUACAAAUCUCUAUGGAUAAAGUGAUGGAAAUUAAGUUUAUAGAUAAGAAUUUUACAAAAUUUACCGUAGCAACAUUCCUCCCUUGUGAAAUUACAGUAGGCACUUGAGAAGAUAAUAGAUUAUUUAUCUGUCCGUCCUAUAAAGUCAACAAAAAAAAUCAUUUAAGCAUCAUUUAUGCAAUAAAAUUAUUUUACGUUAAUUAAUAUUAAAACUAACCUCUACGUCAGAACAUGUCGAACUCUUUUUAGGUUUUUUAAAUUUUUUAAACAUUUUUCUUUGACAAGGUGGACAACUUUUACGAUGCUUAGUGACACGACUCAAAAGUGUAUUACUCUCAAGUAUAAGAGUGUCUAGUUAUAAUAUAACCCGGUGAAACCGGGGUCGAACCACAUGGAGUUUUAAAUCUAGUAAAACUAAGAAAAUUAAUUGUGGGGAAAAGAAAUUAUUUAAAAUCAAUUUAAAAAUAAGCUAAGGUUUACGAUCAACUCUCUGUAUUCAAACUAUAAUUUUAAUACUCUCUCAUUUAUAUUUUAUCUCACUUUUACCAAUUA